CCGCGUCCGCCGCUCAAAUCCCCUGGAACGGGGUAUCGGAGAAGGUGAGAAUCCUGUGCCGUGGCGGUUCGCGGUCGCACGAUGCGCUCUUGCAGAGUCGGGUUGCUUGGGAUUGCAGCUUGAAUUGGGUGGUAAAUUCCAUCUAAAGCUAAAUACUGGCGAGAGACCGAUAGCGAACAAGUACCGUGAGGGAAAGAUGAAAAGCACUUUGGAAAGAGAGUUAAAAGUACGUGAAAUUGUCGAAAGGGAAGCACUUGAAGUCAGCCAUGCUGCUUGAGACUCAGCCUGGCUUUUGCUUGGUGUAUUUCUCGGUAGCAAGCCAGCAUUGGUUUGUGUCGUCGGAGAAGCGUAUGGGGAAUGUGGCAUCCUCGGAUGUGUUAUAGCCCUGUGCAGGAUACGACGACGUAGACCAAGGAACGCAGUGUGCCCUCUGGGCGGGUCUUCGGACACCUUCACACUUAGGAUGCUGGCGUAAUGGCUUUAAGUGGCCCGUCUUGUAACACGGACCAAGGAGUCUAACAUGUGUGCGAGUUUUUGGGUGGCAAACCCAUGAGCGUAAUGAAAGUGAAUGCAGGUGGGAUCCGCAAGGAGCACCAUCGACCGGCCCUGAUGUUCUCGGAUGGGUCUGCGUAAGAGCAUAUAUGUUGGGACCCGAAAGAUGGUGAACUAUGCCUGAAUAGGGCGAAGCCAGAGGAAACUCUGGUGGAGGCUCGCAGCGGUUCUGACGUGCAAAUCGAUCGUCAAAUUUGGGUAUAGGGGCGAAAGACUAAUCGAACCAUCU
rnacentral:rRNA from 1 species